UCUUAUAUGCACCAUGGCUUAUCCGAGUGCUUUAGUGCACGGCCAAGCGCGUCGCUAGCUGACAAUGGAGGUGUUGGAGUACAGAGGCCAAACAUGUAGCGGAGCGUAUACUGGCUUGUAUUCUGCUGAAUGCAGGAAGUGUUUACCCGUUCAAUUUGGCUCUCAAAAUGUCUGUGUUAAAGUGAAUGCUUUUGACUGAGAAUCGUAUUUAAAAUUUAGCUUAGUAAACAGUAGAAGUCGCCAGUGGGUUCACGAAACAAACAACACAAAAAGACAUACAUGUGAAUUUCAUCAUCUUUAUAGCAAGGAUAUGCUCAAAGAUUUUUUUGUGUAACAAGGAUUUCAACAAAUAGUUCAGAUUUUUUGUUGUCAAAACUUGAACAACGUCUAACCAAGGAAACUACAACCUACAGAAAACCUAUGCUACCAACAGAACGGGUCAUAACAUUAAGGUGGCUAAUGUGUGUGUACCGAAGUUGACAAUGGGAACAGUCCUGUCGUAGUCGUCAGCUGCACGCCAGAGGCUGUUGGGACUUGGUUCAGCUCCAUUGUUUAUCUUCGUAACUGCUUUCUUCAGAGGUUACACCUACAAACAUUAAUUUAGGAUGAACAGGGGCAAUCUUGGGCGAGGGAGGGGCGUGUCUCUGGACCAGGAGGAACACAAGUGCGUGUGUACACGCCCCGACACCAAUGUGCUAUGCAAUGUUUGUGGUUACAUUACGAAGGGGAGGAUUCGGAAAACAUGCCCUAAACACAAGUUGACUCUGUAUCUGAUGGAUAUACAGCAGUGUCCACGUUGCAAGGCGUACAGCUUCAUGAUGCAGGAAUUUACUACGACCAGCAUCAAGUGAGGACACAGGUUCUUCUUGUACUGCAUGUUGCUGGCACCCAUCUGCUUGUCACGUUUAUUCUAUUUGGUUUCUUCGUGGUACGUAGUUAUAUUCUGCAAUUAUCUCUUUUUCUGGUUUGUUACAUUGCUCAAGGAUAAUAUUUUAUUGUGUAAAUAUUUUGUAUUUGGAGAAUAUUGUAUAUAGAAAGUGCUCUCUUUUACUACUGUUGACUGUGUUGUUGGUUUAAAGUAUUUUUAAGUAGUGUCUGGCUUUAUUGGUGAAAAUUUGGUAUUUUGCUGAACAGCUGAAGACCUGGAAACAACAGUCAGUUAACCCAUACUUCUUUGAAACUGAAAAACAUUGAGGUAAAUUAUAAUAUUAAUAAUACAGACGUUGUUAUUAAACCAAAGGAACAUUAAAGCUAGAGUUUUACAGGACGGUGAAUACGGGGGUAUUCAGUGUAUACAAAAUUACGAUUUGUUCGGGUUUUCAUGUUCAUGAUGUGAUGAAGUCGAGGUAUUUUCAGCUGGUUAGGUUAAGUAAAAAUGUUGUUCACGUUUUUGUAUUUACCUCAGUUUAUUAACAAAGAAAAAUGUAAUUUAAACAUUUAUUAGUUUAAUUGGAAAGAAAACACACCUUAGUCAACAUAGUGUGUGUGGAAGACUGAUAAUGUUCUUGAUUGACGUCAGGUCACAAUACCUGGACUUCUGUCGUUGCUUUGUUAGAUUUUCACACCUGAAAAAUUAAUAUACUCACCUUCAGAAAUACUCUUGUAUUUCUCGAGUUUUGUUUCAUCAGAGUUUCUGUACACUCUUUAAAUAUUCUUUCAGACUGAUUUGUAGUAAAUUACUCCACUUGCUUUGUGUGUAGACUUUAUGUUGUUGUAUUAUGUCUGCUUCAGUUAUGAGCCGGGAUAGCUCAGUCAGUAUAGUGACUAGCUACGGGCUGGACGACAGGGGUUCGAUCCCCGACGGGGGCAGAGGAUUUUUCCCUCUAGCCUCUGCGUCCAGACCGGCUCUGGGGCCCACCCAGCCUCCUCUACAAUGGGUACCGGGGUCCUUUCCCGGGGGUAAAGCAACAUUCUGAAUAUUGCACAAAAUACAUAUUUUGUGUGGUAAAUCAUCCGUAAAUUUCUGCAUGCCUUUUUUUGAAGUCACACGUGUUCCCGAGGCAUCAUUCGUUAUGUGGAUCCCAAGGUUUAAACACCCAAAGCUGAUGCUUAAAGCAAACUAUGCUAAUCCUUACGAGUGGUACGGGUAGAGCUUGUUGUAAAUCGGAACAUAAGUGUCUCUUUUGGGCUCUCCAAAAGAUGGGUUGAAGGAUACAUACCUGUAGAAAUUCUGUGGUGUAAGUUUUCUUUAUUUUUCCAACUCUUUGAUUGUUUAAAUUUCACGUAGUCACAAUUAUAUUGAGCUGUGAAGUUAAAAUGACUUUAUUCAAGAGUAAUGUCUUGCUUCGACACCUUCUUAAUAUGUUUGUUGUGAUAUUUAAUUUAAUUUGUAAAGUUUGAUGGUGGGCUUAUUCAUAUCUGAAUUGGAUGUUUUCUUAUUUUAGUUCAGAGUAUGUCUGAGAUUGCCAUUGGAAUCCCAAGAAUAGAUAUAAACGCGCUUUUCCAAAUCAUCUUACAUAUUUCUAGUAUAUUCACGUGUUCAUUAUCGUGAUAUUAUGAUUCUUUGGCAGCAGCCAUUUUAUAGCAUGAAUUGGUUUGCAAAUGGUUGCACGGUGGAGAAUGUUGAUUUUAUUUAAAAUAUUCCGUAUGCCACAAAUCAAAAGCUAAAAACGUGACCCACCUAUUAUACAAAGAUAGGACAAUAGUGAGGCUGCAUUUCAUUCGUGAAUCCAGACUUUCGAGCAUUGUGAUUUACAAUGCAAUUACUCCGAGGCCUUCGGUUCAUUGUUCUGAACUACUUGCUAAAAUUUGUUAUUUGGUGAUUAUACUUGGGAAACAUCUAACUUGAAGUAAAUUGUUACAACUUUUACUCAUAAGAUUUGAAUCUGAACAUUGCGCAUGUCACAUUAUUAGCUAUGUUUAGAUUAUGCCUGUUAAAUAUGUCUUCACCUGAAAAAUUUCAGACCUGAGAAAAGUUUUAAUUUUUUUUUUUUUUUUGCAUAAUUGUUUGGAGUAUAAUGUGAAUC